UCACCUCCCCACUUCCUGCCACGCCCUCCUGUCCCUUUUGCGACCCAUGUCCCCUCCUGCCCCCCGGGAAUUCCACUGGGAAUGAACGAGAAAAACCCAGGAAUUAUAGUGGGAAUGAGAGCAGAAAUUGCACUGGGAAUUAAUGGGAAAACACCAGGAAUUACACUGGGAAUUAGUGGGAAAACCACGGAAUUACCCUGGGAAAACAGCAGGAAUGGAUGGGAAAACACUGGGAAUCACAGCAGGAAUUAACAGGAAAACCUGGGAAAUCCACUGGGAAUGGAGAGGGAAACUCCAGGAAUUCCAGCGGGAAUUAACGGGAAUUAAUGCUGUGCGGGAGUGUGUUCUUUAUUCUUUCAGUGUCUGUACACACCUCCCCCCCAUCUCACUCCUAACCCCCUUCUCUCCAAGAUGUGAAUCUCCCCUCCCCCCGCUUCUUUCCCUGCCCCCUUUAGUCCUACCCCAAACUCCUCCCCUGUUAUUCCCCUAUUGGUUGCUGUUCCUAUACCCCUCCCCAUAGGUUCUUGUAUAAAACAUCUGCUCGCCCGCCCCAAGGGGUCUUGGGGCACGUGAAAUAAACGGAACCUAUUCACCCCAAGUCCCGUGCCACCUCCAUCUGUCCCCGCGCCGAUAACCGGGACAGCAGAGCUUUCGCAGGGGGACCGGCCGCCCGUUCUCUUCCAUCGCCGCCCAACACGCCCACGCUCGGGGUGUCCCGGUGAAAGGGGACUGCAAUGCAACAAAUGGUAGCAGAGGAUGGUUCCCUCCUUCGUCUUGUAAAACAAACGGGCAAAUUCGUGGGGGCGCCCGCCUCACGGAAGAAGAAGGAGGGAAGAGGAACAUCUGCGGUCGUAGAAGCUUUGCCGGACGCUAAGAGGAGCCAAGUGCCGAGCGAAAAGAAUUCGGCUCCGGGACCCUCCUUUGUUCUCGCCUCCGUGCGCUCCACCCCACCCCUGCUGAGAUCAGCCGUACUGCACUGGGGCAGACAUGCUGCAGGGGCUUUGAAGGGGGGGUAGACCUACUCCAGAACAAGGAGGGCGGUUUGGCAGCGGCUCAAGGGAGCCCGAAGGACGGCGAGUCAGGGGACAGCACUUGAACGUGACCACCAGAGGCCGAUAGUGGUCGAGCCCAACGCUUCAGGGACAAGUUUUGGGUGCAGCCGAGAUCGGCUGGACUUGCCUGCAAGUCCCGGGAACACCUAAGCCUCUGGAAGAGCCAAACCUAGAAGGAACGUCCCCAGUUCGGCGCGACUUUUCCACCAAGUCGAGGAGAAGAAUCAAGCCAUCUCCACCCGGGCCCCAGAGGAAAGAAAGAUCAUGCUAUUUAGUUUAUACCCACGGUAUUAUGCCCACUCCGGAAAUAAAGAAUAAAAUCAGACAAGCCAUGUCGCUGCUCGCUGCUUCAACUCCGCUAUACAUCUCCAGUGCCGCGACAGCCCAAGUUUCGAAUCAGAUCAAGCUGUGAAUCCUGCUAAAUGUUUUACCCUGAAUUCAGGAUUUGUUUAUGUCAAUUUUAUACGCUUUGUAUAUUAAUUUGUUUUAUUGUAAUUAUAACUAAUUUGUACUUUUCUGAUGUUUUUCAACUUAUUUCUGUUUAAUAAUUUGUAAUGUUACUAUAUGAUUUUGUUGUAUUUUAUAUAUGAGGUUUAUAUUGUUUAUAUGCAGUAUUUGUUUAAUGUCCAAGAUUAAAAAAAGAACGGUUUCCUAUUUACCAUCUGAGUAGGAGUUGCCUUGAGGCAGUUUUCCUUAUCUGCUGUUAAUAGCCCCAUCAAUGCCUUGCUACAUGACUCAGAGAUAACACUGUCCAGGAGCAGGUGAUUAAGGACACACCUCGUGACUCAUAAUGACCCAUUGUGAGAUGCUCUGCACAGGGGGGAGGAGCUAGGCAUUCCAACCUGGAUAAAACUGGGGUUUUCUAGACAGAGGGUCAGCCUUUUCACAGGUUCUCCGAGAAGACACAGCAACUACAUCUGCCAUCCCA